ACUGAUGGUUUCAGAGAAACUAGAGGGUAAAUGUAAAAUUGAUCUUCCACCCACACAAUGACUCCUCAGGGGGUCUGAGAGAAAGUUCCAGUCAAAUCCACAUGCGUUCCGAAUUUGCUGUGUCAAGAAGGAGAAGAUGAGAGGAGGAAAAUGCAGAAUGAGAACUAUCCACAUAACUUACUGGAAGGUUCCCCUGCCCUGCUUUUUAUGCAGUAUCUUGGACAAGUAAGCUCUCUGAAUCUGAAUUGGGCUUCCUCUGUACCUCCCAGAAUGCAGCUUUGCAGAGCUUCAAUUCUGCUGUAGAUGGCUUUUCUGGCAGCAGAGAGAAUUGAGCCUUAUCAAGCCUGAAAAACUGCAAGAGUUGAGAGUCAGAGUCCUGCAACCCCUGGCUAUAAAUGAGUACUUGCCUACAAAUUCUCCAGUCCCAGUUAGAAAAAUUGAACUCUGCUCAGUUAUGGAAAAGGCAUAAGCCUCUGUUCAUGAAGUACCUCAUACUAUGGCUUCCACAUGGGCUCAUCUUGAAAUGCACAUAUUUUUGAACCCUGCACUUUUCCAUAGAUUGUGCAGCAUCGUGUCCAUGAACUUCCAG